rnacentral:rRNA from 1 species
GAUGAACGCUGGCGGCGUGCCUAAUACAUGCGAGUCGAGCGAACGGACGAGAAGCUUGCUUCUCUGAUGUUAGCGGCGGACGGGUGAGUAACACGUGGAUAACCUACCUAUAAGACUGGGAUAACUUCGGGAAACCGGAGCUAAUACCGGAUAAUAUUUUGAACCGCAUGGUUCAAAAGUGAAAGACGGUCUUGCUGUCACUUAUAGAUGGAUCCGCGCUGCAUUAGCUAGUUGGUAAGGUAACGGCUUACCAAGGCAACGAUGCAUAGCCGACCUGAGAGGGUGAUCGGCCACACUGGAACUGAGACACGGUCCAGACUCCUACGGGAGGCAGCAGUAGGGAAUCUUCCGCAAUGGGCGAAAGCCUGACGGAGCAGCGCCGCGUGAGUGAUGAAGGUCUUCGGAUCGUAAAACUCUGUUAUUAGGGAAGAACAUAUGUGUAAGUAACUGUGCACAUCUUGACGGUACCUAAUCAGAAAGCCACGGCUAACUACGUG